GCUCGGCCGUAAACUUAGAUAACUUUAUCCGCCCAGGUACUACGAGCAUAAGCUUAAAACCCAAAGGACUUGGCGGUGCUUCAGACCCUCCUAGAGGAGCCUGUUCUAGAACCGAUAUUCCUCGUUAAACCUCACCGCCUCUUGCCCGCCUAUAUACCGCCGUCGUCAGCUUACCCUUUGAAGGUAAUAAAGUAAGCGAAACAGUCACAAACAAAAACGUCAGGUCGAGGUGUAGCGUAUGAGGCGGGAAGAAAUGGGCUACAUUCUCUCGGGCAGUGAAA
rnacentral:rRNA from 1 species